rnacentral:antisense_RNA from 1 species
UUCUAAGGCGGGCCAGGUGAGGCGGCCGUAAGGCCGGCCGGUUCCCCCGGAGACUGGUUUCCACCCUCGCUCUAUGGCCCGCCACCCUC